rnacentral:misc_RNA from 1 species
UACGGAGGGUGCAAGCGUUAAUCGGAAUUACUGGGCGUAAAGAGCGCGUAGGUGGCUUGAUAAGCCGGUUGUGAAAGCCCCGGGCUCAACCUGGGAACGGCAUCCGGAACUGUCAAGCUAGAGUGUAGGAGAGGAAGGUAGAAUUCCCGGUGUAGCGGUGAAAUGCGUAGAGAUCGGGAGGAAUACCAGUGGCGAAGGCGUCCUUCUGGACUGACACUGACACGGAUGUGCGAAAGCGUUGGUAGCAAACAGG